rnacentral:rRNA from 1 species
UACGGGGGGGCAAGCGUUGUUCGGAAUUACUGGGCGUAAAGGGCUUGUAGGUGGCCAACUAAGUCAGACGUGAAAUCCCUCAGCUUAACUGGGGAACUGCUUCUGAUACUGGAUGGCUUGAGUUUGGGAGAGGGAUGCGGAAUUCCAGGUGUAGCGGUGAAAUGCGUAGAUAUCUGGAGGAACACCGGUGGCGAAGGCGGCAUCCUGGACCAACACUGACACUGAAAAGCGAAAGCCAGGGGAGCAAACGGG